GACAGAGGUCCCAAGCGUUAGGCGGAAUCACUGGGCUUAAAGCGUGUGUAGGCGGACUUCUAAGUGCCUUGUGAAAUCCCACGGCUCACCCGUGGAACUGCUGGGCAUACUGGGAGUCUUGAGCCACUUAGGGGCAACUGGAACAAACGGUGGAGCGGUGAAAUGCGUAGAUAUCGUAAGGAAGACCAGUGGCGAAGGCGGGUCUCUGGACAGUUCCUGACGCUGAGGCACGAAGGCCAGGGGAGCAAACGGG
rnacentral:rRNA from 1 species